AGAAACAUUCAACAUUCCAGCUGCAAAGCUGCAAGGCCGAGGUAGUCGAUCUGAGCACUACAGCUUGAUCUGUGGCCGCUGAGUUGCACAAGAUGACUUUUCUGGACACGGAAUGAAUCUGCAUGCAGCCUUGCAAGUCAGAGACUUACAAUCCAGCACAUCUCAAUAACUUGACAUCAGUGUUUUAAACAAUUCUCCUAGUUCACCCUUGUCUGAACUAACUACUGCUAUUGAUUAGCAAGCAUGUUUAAUAUUCUUUUGAAAUGAAAAUAAAUGAGGCAGUUCAAGAAAUAAA